GUUAGUUGCUGUUAGUUGAAGCGUGGGUUUCGAGAACAUGGUAGACUAAUGUUGGAGCUACAGAGAUGGAAACCACGCUGCCCACCACGUAAAUUUAAUUUGUAAAAUGUUCUUAAUGGCACCUUUUACAACACGGAACUUCACUUCAGCCAUCCAAUCAAGUUCUUGCAUCCAAUUGUGCAGCCUGCACGGAAUUUUCAGUUAGCUCUGCUGUGAAUGUGGAUUAACAUGCCCACUUAUUGAAGGCCAAUCAGAUGAAUAUUGAAGCUAGCAGAUUUGGAAACCAUACCAUACUGUCCACCACAUCCAGAUUCCAGAAGCUGAAUAACAUCUAACAUAUACAACUUUCUUAAAGGCACCUUUUAAAGUAUUGAACUUCACUGUAGCCAACUACUCGCUUGCAUCCAAUUGUGCAGACCUGUGCUGUGAAUGUAAAUAACAUGUGCACUACACUAAGGGUUUUGUUCCUGUUCUUGCUGCCCAAUGUGGUGUGAUGUUGCAGCUAUGCUGGUGAAAGACUUAAAGUUAAACUGUGGCUGCUCCUUGGUGCUGGUGUCCAGUUGCGGAAGUUGCAAUCAUAUUUUUAUAUUCAAUCAUAUUUUGUCUAUUAUUGUUGUCAUGUUUAAAAAGAAAUAGAAAUGUGGGGGUUUAUGUCGACAACAAAAAAAAACAUUUUCGCGUUGUUUAAGCAACGAGAGGGAAGUUGGGGUGAGGGACUUGUCAUAUUUUAAAAGUUUUUGGUAUUAUUAUUCAUUUUUUCUGACGUAGUACAUAAGGAUAUAAGCUUCAUAACUUAUAACCAUACCACAAUCCCAAUACCUGACCACUAUCCAUACCUUAUACUCCACGACCUAUAACCAUACCACCCAUAAACCUAACACCAUCCGACUUGUAUAUCCAU
rnacentral:lncRNA from 1 species